rnacentral:rRNA from 1 species
GAGGCAUGCUGGAGGUAUCAGAAGUGCGAAUGCUGACAUAAGUAACGAUAAAGCGGGUGAAAAGCCCGCUCGCCGGAAGACCAAGGGUUCCUGUCCAACGUUAAUCGGGGCAGGGUGAGUCGACCCCUAAGGCGAGGCCGAAAGGCGUAGUCGAUGGGAAACGGGUUAAUAUUCCCGUACUUGGUGUUACUGCGAAGGGGGGACGGAGAAGGCUAUGUUGGCCGGGCGACGGUUGUCCCGGUUUAAGCGUGUAGGUAUGUGUUCCAGGUAAAUCCGGUUCACUUUAACACUGAGGCGUGACGACGAGGCACUACGGUGCUGAAGCAACAAAUGCCCUGCUUCCAGGAAAAGCCUCUAAGCAUCAGGUAACAUCAAAUCGUACCCCAAACCGACACAGGUGGUCAGGUAGAGAAUACCAAGGCGCUUGAGAGAACUCGGGUGAAGGAACUAGGCAAAAUGGUGCCGUAACUUCGGGAGAAGGCACGCUGACACGUAGGUGAAGUGAUUUACUCACGGAGCUGAAGUCAGCCGAAGAUACCAGCUGGCUGCAACUGUUUAUUAAAAACACAGCACUGUGCAAACACGAAAGUGGACGUAUACGGUGUGACGCCUGCCCGGUGCCGGAAGGUUAAUUGAUGGGGUCAGCGCAAGCGAAGCUCCUGAUCGAAGCCCCGGUAAACGGCGGCCGUAACUAUAACGGUCCUAAGGUAGCGAAAUUCCUUGUCGGGUAAGUUCCGACCUGCACGAAUGGCGUAAUGAUGGCCAGGCUGUCUCCACCCGAGACUCAGUGAAAUUGAACUCGCUGUGAAGAUGCAGUGUACCCGCGGCAAGACGGAAAGACCCCGUGAACCUUUACUAUAGCUUGACACUGAACAUUGAGCCUUGAUGUGUAGGAUAGGUGGGAGGCUUUGAAGUGUGGACGCCAGUCUGCAUGGAGCCGACCUUGAAAUACCACCCUUUAAUGUUUGAUGUUCUAACGUGGACCCGUGAUCCGGGUUGCGGACAGUGUCUGGUGGGUAGUUUGACUGGGGCGGUCUCCUCCUAAAGAGUAACGGAGGAGCACGAAGGUUGGCUAAUCCUGGUCGGACAUCAGGAGGUUAGUGCAAUGGCAUAAGCCAGCUUGACUGCGAGCGUGACGGCGCGAGCAGGUGCGAAAGCAGGUCAUAGUGAUCCGGUGGUUCUGAAUGGAAGGGCCAUCGCUCAACGGAUAAAAGGUACUCCGGGGAUAACAGGCUGAUACCGCCCAAGAGUUCAUAUCGACGGCGGUGUUUGGCACCUCGAUGUCGGCUCAUCACAUCCUGGGGCUGAAGUAGGUCCCAAGGGUAUGGCUGUUCGCCAUUUAAAGUGGUACGCGAGCUGGGUUUAGAACGUCGUGAGACAGUUCGGUCCCUAUCUGCCGUGGGCGCUGGAGAACUGAGGGGGGCUGCUCCUAGUACGAGAGGACCGGAGUGGACGCAUCACUGGUGUUCGGGUUGUCAUGCCAAUGGCACUGCCCGGUAGCUAAAUGCGGAAGAGAUAAGUGCUGAAAGCAUCUAAGCACGAAACUUGCCCCGAGAUGAGUUCU